rnacentral:rRNA from 1 species
AUUGAACGCUGGCGGCAGGCCUAACACAUGCAAGUCGAACGGUAACAGGAAGAAGCUUGCUUCUUUGCUGACGAGUGGCGGACGGGUGAGUAAUGUCUGGGAAACUGCCUGAUGGAGGGGGAUAACUACUGGAAACGGUAGCUAAUACCGCAUAACGUCGCAAGACCAAAGAGGGGGACCUUCGGGCCUCUUGCCAUCGGAUGUGCCCAGAUGGGAUUAGCUAGUAGGUGGGGUAACGGCUCACCUAGGCGACGAUCCCUAGCUGGUCUGAGAGGAUGACCAGCCACACUGGAGCUGGGACACGGUCCAGACUCCCACGGGAGGCAGCAGUGGGGAAUAGUGCACAAUGGGCGCAAGCCUGAUGCAGCCAUGCCGCGUGUAUGAAGAAGGCCUUCGGGUUGUAAAGUACUUUCAGCGGGGAGGAAGGGAGUAAAGUUAAUACCUUUGCUCAUUGACGUUACCCGCAGAAGAAGCACCGGCUAACUCCGUG